GGCGGGGGAGCACCACAACGGGUGGAGCUUGCGGUUUAAUUGGAUUCAACGCCGGAAAUCUUACCGGGACCGACAGCAAUAUGAAGGCCAGGCUGAAGACUUUGCCGGAUUAGCUGAGGGGUGGUGCAUGGCCGUCGUCAGUUCGUACUGUGAAGCAUCCUGUUAAGUCAGGCAACGAGCGAGACCCACGCCCACAGUUGCCAGCGUACUCUCCGGAGUGACGGGUACACUGUGGGGACCGCCGCUGCUAAAGCGGAGGAAGGAAUGGGCAACGGUAGGUCAGUAUGCCCCGAAUAUCCCGGGCUACACGCGAGCUACAAUGGUUGGUACAAUGGGUAUCUACCCCGAAAGGGGACGGGAAUCUCCUAAAACCAAUCUUAGUUCGGAUUGAGGGCUGCAACUCGCCCUCAUGAAGCUGGAAUCCGUAGUAAUCGCGUUUCAACAGAACGCGGUGAAUACGUCCCUGCUCCUUGCACACACCGCCCGUCAAACCACCCGAGUAGGGUCUGAAUGAGAGCGCUUACCAAUCGGAGGCGUUCGAAUUUGGGCUUUGCAAGGGGGGUUAAGUCGUAACAAGGUAACCAAGGGCGAAU
rnacentral:rRNA from 1 species